rnacentral:sRNA from 1 species
UUUUGUUUCGGAAGUCCAAACAUGGGUC